CGAGUGAAGCGGGACUAGCUCAGGAUGUGAAUCUGCGCUCUUAUGGCGCCGAAUUGUGGUCUGUAGACUUUGACGUUAUUUGCCGGGCCAAGUUCCUUGGAAAAGGACAGCUGAGAGGGUGAGACUCCCGUCCGCCUGGUAGAAUGAGUCAUGUGUCAACGAGUCGAGUUGUUUGGGAUUGCAGCUCUAAUUUGGUGGUAAAUUCCAUCUAAAGCUAAAUAUUGGUGGGAGACCGAUAGCGUACAAGUACCGUGAGGGAAAGAUGCAAAGAACUUUGAAAAGAGAGUUAAAGAGUACCUGAAAUUGCUGAAACGGAAGCGAAGGAAACCAGUGUUUGUUGGUUCAUAUUUCCCUGGCCACUUGUGGUUUGGGCGCUGUGAGCUUGCGUGGGUUUGUUUUGAUUGAUCCCUUUGGAAGAGCGCAGACAGAGUUGAUGUCUGUUGCUAGCACUGGGUUUGAUUGAUGCAGACGAAAUGGUUUUCUUUACCCCGUCUUGAAACACGGACCAAGGAGUCUAACAUAUGUG
rnacentral:rRNA from 1 species